rnacentral:rRNA from 1 species
AACGAUGAAGCUUCUAGCUUGCUAGAAUGCUGAUUAGUGGCGCACGGGUGAGUAACGCAUAGGUCAUGUGCCUCUUAGUUUGGGAUAGCCAUUGGAAACGAUGAUUAAUACCAGAUACUCCCUACGGGGGAAAUAUUUAUCGCUAAGAGAUCAGCCUAUGUCCUAUCAGCUUGUUGGUAAGGUAAUGGCUUACCAAGGCUAUGACGGGUAUCCGGCCUGAGAGGGUGAACGGACACACUGGAACUGAGACACGGUCCAGACUCCUACGGGAGGCAGCAGUAGGGAAUAUUGCUCAAUGGGGGAAACCCUGAAGCAGCACGCCGCGUGGAGGAUGAAGGUUUUAGGAUUGUAAACUCCUUUUGUUAGAGAAGAUAAUGACGGUAUCUAACGAAUAAGCACCGGCUAACUCCGUGCCAGCAGCCGCGGUAAUACGGAGGGUGCAAGCGUUACUCGGAAUCACUGGGCGUAAAGAGCGCGUAGGCGGGAUAGUCAGUCAGGUGUGAAAUCCUAUGGCUUAACCAUAGAACUGCAUUUGAAACUACUAUUCUAGAGUGUGGGAGAGGUAGGUGGAAUUCUUGGUGUAGGGGUAAAAUCCGUAGAGAUCAAGAGGAAUACUCAUUGCGAAGGCGACCUGCUGGAACAUUACUGACGCUGAUUGCGCGAAAGCGUGGGGAGCAAACAGGAUUAGAUACCCUGGUAGUCCACGUCCUAAACGAUGGAUGCUAGUUGUUGGAGGGCUUAGUCUCUCCAGUAAUGCAGCUAACGCAUUAAGCAUCCCGCCUGGGGAGUACGGUCGCAAGAUUAAAACUCAAAGGAAUAGACGGGGACCCGCACAAGCGGUGGAGCAUGUGGUUUAAUUCGAAGAUACACGAAGAACCUUACCUAGGCUUGACAUUGAGAGAAUCCGCUAGAAAUAGUGGAGUGUCUAGCUUGCUAGACCUUGAAAACAGGUGCUGCACGGCUGUCGUCAGCUCGUGUCGUGAGAUGUUGGGUUAAGUCCCGCAACGAGCGCAACCCCCUUUCUUAGUUGCUAACAGGUUAUGCUGAGAACUCUAAGGAUACUGCCUCCGUAAGGAGGAGGAAGGUGGGGACGACGUCAAGUCAUCAUGGCCCUUACGCCUAGGGCUACACACGUGCUACAAUGGGGUGCACAAAGAGAAGCAAUACUGCGAAGUGGAGCCAAUCUUCAAAACACCUCUCAGUUCGGAUUGUAGGCUGCAACUCGCCUGCAUGAAGCUGGAAUCGCUAGUAAUCG